AUUUGGAAUUUCAGUUGAGGUUGACCGAGAAGAAGCUGCUAGGGUUUCGAUUAGUUGAUGAGGUGCUAAACAAGAAGAAAUCGAAGGAGUUCAUGCCAAAGUACACUUUCCCAUACAUUAAAAACAGUCCCAAGGGGCAAUCUGGUUCAUGUGUGCGUCUGAGGGAAGGGGAAUUUUGGAAGCUCGUUUCAGAAAUGAACUAUCAAGACUUGGAAUGCAAUUUCAGGAUCUGCAUAAACCUUUCGUCCCACUCACAAAUGAAGAUGAAGAUGAUGUCCUUCAUGCUAUGAAGGGUGUCAGGGGCUAUGAAGUUCUAGUCACACAUAAAACCUCCAGCAUUGAGAUAACAAGAGAACUCCUGCAGUGUCUGAGGGGCGGCGGUUGGUUGAAUGAUGACGUUAUCAACCUGUACCUUGAAUUAUUGAAGGAGAGAGAAAAAAGAGAACCCAGAAACUAUUUGAAGUGCCAUUUUUUCAAUACAUUCUUUUACAAAAGGCUCAUCAGCGGAGGGAAAGCUUAUGACUUCAAGGCUGUUAAAAGGUGGACUACCCAGAGAAAGAUAGGGUACGGCCUUAUUGAAUGUGACAAAAUUUUUGUUCCCAUACAUAAAAGUAAACAUUGGGUUUUAGCAAUUAUCAACAUAAAGGAGCAAAAAUUCCAGUAUCUUGAUUCACUUGGCGGUAUGGACAAAACAGUGCUAAGAGUAUUGGUUAAAUAUUUGAUGGAUGAAGUAAAGGACAAGAGCAGUAAACAGAUUGAUGCAGUUUCUUGGAAGCAAGAAACAAUUAAGAAUCUUCCUUUGCAGGAAAAUGGGUAUGACUGCGGAAUGUUCAUGCUCAAAUAUAUAGACUUUUACAGCAGAGGUUUAGAUCUUACAUUUGGGCAGGAACACAUGCCUUAUUUCAGGAAGAGGACUGCAAAGGAGAUUCUAAGGCUGAGAGCUGAUUAGAUUAGUAGUAAUUAGCUCAUACAGAACUAACAUUAUGAUAUUAUCAGUCAUUGAAGUGGAAUAGGUCCACCUUUUUGCAUCAGAGCAAUUUUGCACUCGGUAAUUCCUCGGAGCUUGCAACAAGUUCAUCUGCUCGUAUAAUCGUGAAAUUGGGCGCACCUGGACCAAAGACGAUCACUCUAUAUCAUAUGCUCACAGUUUUAUGCAAAUCGAUUUUGGACUAACCAGAGUUGCGGAUGAAAGGCGAAAAUGAUUCGGUAACAAAUGCAGUGACAAGAAUAUUUAGUAUGUCUCAUUGCACAAUUUCCUAUCAAAUUAAUUUUGUAUCAUCUAUCUAUUCUAUCAGGCAUUUUAACUCGCACUGUAUUACACACUUUUUUACA